UACGUAGGGCCCGAGCGUUAUCCGGUAUUAUUGGGCGUAAAGAGCGCGUAGGCGGUUUUGUAAGACAGUGGUUAAAUACCCGAGCUUAACUCGGGAGCUGCCACUGUGACUGCAAGACUAGACGAUAGCAGGGGCAAGCAGAAUUCUCGGUGUAGGAGUGAAAUCCGUUGAGAUCGAGAGGAAUACCAAUGGCGAAGGCAGCUUGCUAGGCUAUAUGUGACGCUGAGGCGCGAAAGCGUGGGGAGCGAACGGG
rnacentral:rRNA from 1 species